ACCCGCUGAACUUAAGCAUAUCAAUAAGCGGAGGAAAAGAAACCAACAGGGAUUGCCCUAGUAACGGCGAGUGAAGCGGCAACAGCUCAAAUUUGAAAUCUGGCGUCUUUGGCGUCCGAGUUGUAAUUUGCAGAGGGCGCUUUGGCAUUGGCAGCGGUCCAAGUUCCUUGGAACAGGACGUCACAGAGGGUGAGAAUCCCGUACGUGGUCGCUAGCCUUUACCGUGUAAAGCCCCUUCGACGAGUCGAGUUGUUUGGGAAUGCAGCUCUAAAUGGGAGGUAAAUUUCUUCUAAAGCUAAAUACUGGCCAGAGACCGAUAGCGCACAAGUAGAGUGAUCGAAAGAUGAAAAGCACUUUGGAAAGAGAGUUAAAAAGCACGUGAAAUUGUUGAAAGGGAAGCGCUUGCAGCCAGACUUGCCUGUAGUUGCUCAUCCGGGUUUUUACCCGGUGCACUCUUCUAUAGGCAGGCCAGCAUCAGUUUGGGCGGUUGGAUAAAGGUCUCUGUCGUGUACCUCUCUUCGGGGAGAACUUAUAGGGGAGACGACAUGCAACCAGCCCGGACUGAGGUCCGCGCAUCUGCUAGGAUGCUGGCGUAAUGGCUGU
rnacentral:rRNA from 1 species